rnacentral:rRNA from 1 species
AUCGAUGAAGAACGCAGCGAAAUGCGAUAAGUAAUGUGAAUUGCAGAAUUCAGUGAAUCAUCGAAUCUUUGAACGCAUCUUGCGCUCCUUGGUAUUCCGAGGAGCAUGCCUGUUUGAGUGUCAUUUAAAUUCUCAACCACAUCUUGAUGUGGCUUUGGACAUGGGGGUUUUUGCAGGCUUUUUUUUCAAGUCGGCUCCCCUGAAAUGGAUUAGUGGUAUCUGGAGCAGAGACUGCUAGGUGUGAUAAUAUCAUCUAUGCCUGUGGUAUGCUGCAUGAACAGAUUGUGCUGCUUCUAACACACAUUUUGAUUUUUGACAAACUUGACCUCAAAUCAGGUAGGACUACCCGCUGAACUUAAGCAUAUCAAUAAGCGGAGGAAAAGAAACUAACAAGGAUUCCCCUAGUAACUGCGAGUGAAGCGGGAAGAGCUCAAAUUUGAAAUCUGGCGGUUUCUGACCGUCCGAGUUGUAAUCUAGAGAAGUGCUACCUGUGCUGGACCGUGUACAAGUCUCCUGGAAUGGAGCAUCACAGAGGGUGAGAAUCCCGUCUUUGACACGGACUGCCUGUACGUUAUGGUGCGCUCUCGAAGAGUCGAGUUGUUUGGGAAUGCAGCUCAAAAUGGGUGGUAAAUGCCAUCUAAAGCUAAAUAUUGGCGAGAGACCGAUAGCGAACAAGUACCGUGAGGGAAAGAUGAAAAGAACUUUGGAAAGAGAGUUAAACAGUACGUGAAAUUGCUGAAAGGGAAACGCUUGAAGUCAGUCGCGUCGGCCAGAAAUCAGCCUUGCUUUUGCUUGGUGUACUUUCUUGUUGAUGGGUCAGCAUCAAUUUUGACCAUUGGAUAAAGUCAUUGGGAAUGUGGCAUCCUUGGAUGUGUUAUAGCCCAGUGUCGCAUACAAUGGUUGGGAUUGAGGAACUCAGCACGCCGCAAGGCCGGGUAUUUAUACCACGUUCGUGCUUAGGAUGCUGGCAUAAUGGCUUUAAUCGACCCGUCUUGAAACACGG